rnacentral:sRNA from 1 species
UCUGCAGACCCCUCUUCCUUCCCAAAGCAGCCCUCUCUGCUCUCCAUCGCAGGUGACAUCCUAGCCCUGGUUUUUGGCCUCCUUUUUGCUGUCACCAGCGUCGCGUUCCUUGUGCAGAUGAGAAGGCAGCACAGAAGGGGAACCAAAGGGGGUGUGAGCUACCGCCCAGCAGAGGUAGCCGAGACUGGAGCCUAGAGGCUGGAUCUUGGAGAAUGUGAGAAGCCAGCCAGAGGCAUCUGAGGGGGAGCCGGUAACUGUCCUGUCCUGCUCAUUAUGCCACUUCCUUUUAACUGCCAAGAAAUUUUUUAAAAUAAAUAUUUAUAAUAAAA